GUAGUCCGCUGGGGGGGCGCCUAUUUUUGCAUGUCGAGCGGACCGACGGGAGCUUGCUCCCUUAGGUCAGCGGCGGACGGGUGAGUAACACGUGGGUAACCUGCCUGUAAGACUGGGAUAACUCCGGGAAACCGGGGCUAAUACCGGAUGCUUGAUUGAACCGCAUGGUUCAAUCAUAAAAGGUGGCUUUUAGCUACCACUUACAGAUGGACCCGCGGCGCAUUAGCUAGUUGGUGAGGUAACGGCUCACCAAGGCGACGAUGCGUAGCCGACCUGAGAGGGUGAUCGGCCACACUGGGACUGAGACACGGCCCAGACUCCUACGGGAGGCAGCAGUAGGGAAUCUUCCGCAAUGGACGAAAGUCUGACGGAGCAACGCCGCGUGAGUGAUGAAGGUUUUCGGAUCGUAAAACUCUGUUGUUAGGGAAGAACAAGUACCGUUCGAAUAGGGCGGCACCUUGACGGUACCUAACCAGAAAGCCACGGCUAACUACGUGCCAGCAGCCGCGGUAAUACGUAGGUGGCAAGCGUUGUCCGGAAUUAUUGGGCGUAAAGCGCGCGCAGGCGGUUUCUUAAGUCUGAUGUGAAAGCCCCCGGCUCACCGGGGAGGGUCAUUGGAAACUGGGGAACUUGAGUGCAGAGAGGAGAGUGGAAUUCCACGUGUAGCGGGUGAAUGCGUAGAGAUGUGGAGGAACACCAGUGGCGAAGGCACUCUCUGGUCUGUAACUGACCUGAGGCCCGAAGCGUGGGGAACGAACAGGAU
rnacentral:rRNA from 1 species